AAGGACCCCUCACCGUCCAGAACAUGCCUUCUUCUCCUAAUAUUGAGGAGGAAGUUCAAGCUGCAGGAAAGGACUGUCACCCUGAAGACCGAUGCUGACAAUGUUUGACAUCGUAGGAGUCCCAGCUCCCGCUGCCCAUUGUCUGAGUCAUGACAGGCGAGAGAAUAUCCGCAGAUGCUGGGAAUCCAAGUAACACGCACAAAAUGCUGGAGGCCAG